GCCAGGUGUGGUGGUGGGCACCUGUCAUCCUAGCUACUGGGGAGGCUGAGGCAGGAGAAUCACUUGAACCCAGGAGGCAGAGGUUGCAGUGAGCCAAGAUGUCACCACUGCACUCCAGCCUGGGUGACAGAGUGAGACCCUGUCUCAA
rnacentral:sRNA from 1 species